GCACAUCCCACCUUUGCUACUGGCUGAAACUCUGAUGGGGAACUGAGCAUCUGUUCGCAAGUGAUUUGCCCAAGAGGCCCUUGAAGAGUCCCAAGCAGCCUCUCAGACACAUUUUCUGAGCACUUACCACGAGCCGGGCACCACACACACAGAGGAGUUUUCCAGGGGCUCCGCGAC